AUUGAACGCUGGCGGCAGGCCUAACACAUGCAAGUCGAACGGAGUGGCGCACGGGUGAGUAUUACGUGAGUAACCUGCCCUCAACUGUGGGAUACGCCUGGGAAACUGGGUCUAAUCCUGCAUAGAUGGGGAUGGGGUCGCGGAGUUUCAGCUUGUUGGUGGGGUGAUGGCCGACCACGGCGGUGACGGGUAGCCGGCCUGAGAGGGUGGUCGGACACAGUGGGACGGAGCUACGGCACAGACUCCAACGGGAGGCAGCAGUGGGGGAUAGUGCCAAAUGGGCGCAAGCCUGAUGCAGCGACGCCUCGUGGGGUAUGAAGGGUUACGGGUUGUAAACCUCUUUCGGUACAGAACGGGUAUGUACAGAAGAAGCGCCGGCUAACUACGUGCCAGCAGCCGCGGUAAUUC
rnacentral:rRNA from 1 species